GAUCGAACAAAAAAAUUCGAAGGAAUCUAAGGCAGUUGAUAUAUAUACCUGUAAGUAUAAUCUUCACUACUACAAUUUCUUCCUUUUCCGUAUAUGGAGGCUGACGCCUGCCCAAUGCCGGAAGGUCAAGGAAAUUGGUGAUCUGAUGACAGCGGAGCCGACAACCGAAGCCCCGAUGAACGGCGGCCGUAACUGUAACGGUCUUAAGGUAGCGAAAUUCCUUGUCGAGUAAGUUCCGACCCGCACGAAAGGCAUAAC
rnacentral:rRNA from 1 species